AUUCAAGUCAUGUGGUGGGUGAAGAAGAGGCAAUUUGGUUACUAAAAUUGGUUCUACCAUACUUGAAUGAGUGCUUGUUGAAAAUUAAAGCCCUUUUUUCUGGGGAUCCUGCUACUACAAUGAAGAUGGCAGUGCUGCUGUUUGUUUUUGCCAGGUGUGGCAGCUCCAUAACCAUCUGGAAUAUGGCCAAAUUGGGUUUUUUUGGGGUUUUUACAGUGCCAAAGGUCUGCUCUUCCUACUCUACACAGUUAACCGCUUACGCUAAAUUUUGGAUCCGACGGUUUCGAGACGCGUGGGACUCAUGCUCGCACAAGAAAGCCGUUGCUUUGGCCAUUUUUACCCUCGUUUGGAACCUCUCUUCCAUGGUUGCUCGAGUUUGGGCAGUAUUUAUGAUGUUUGUAGCCGUUCGAUAUUAUCAGCAGUCUAUGGAAGCAUAUGAUUGGGUGGAAGACGAUGCGGUAGCGGGGGGUGAUGAAAGUAUUGGUGGAGAAGAAAGUCAAAGAAAUGGGUCCAUUUCAGUGGACGUAAAUAAAAUGAAAAAAGUGUCAUAAAUUUAUAGGAAAUAAUGAAAAAGGUUAUCUCAUUUUAAUUAUUUUUAUUUUUAUUUUUUAGUAUUUAUUUCUGUGAAUAUGUUGUUUGGGACAAUACUAACAAAGCUCUACAGAGC
rnacentral:misc_RNA from 1 species